GUUUUUGGACAUCUGUGACAUCUAUUAAUGUUAAAUCUAGUCUUUCUUUAGCGACAUAAGCAAACUGUUUUUACAUUUAAUGAACAUUUCUGUUUUAUCCAUCCAUCCAUCUUCUUCUGGUUAUCCAGGGCUGGGUCAUGGGGAAAGCAGCCUAGGCAGAGAAGCCCAGGCCUCCCUCUCCUCAGCCACCUCCUCUAGCUUGUCCGGAGGAACACCAAGGCAUUCCCAAGCCAGCCAGCUGAGAGAUGUAAUCUCUCCAGCGUGUCCUGGGUCUGCUCCUGGCUCUACCCUGAGCCCCUCCCGUAUGGCUGAACGUCUCACCCUAUGUAAUGAUGACAUUUCAAUUAUGUGUUUUAAAAAGAGACCACCUAUUUCUUUGAGGCUCUGAAUCAGCACUCCACACACCACAUCAAACUCUUACAAGUCUAGAAGAGCAGCUGUUGGACAGAAAGACAUCAGCUGAGUGGGAAGGAUUUUGACCUGAGAUGUGACUGCUCUGUGCUGUUGCUGAUGACUCCAGUUAAUCCUACAAGACAUGCUGUAGCCCUUUUUAAAAUGAUGCUUUCCUGACAUCAUUGUGUAUCGGCUGGCUAUCCAGACUGACAAGUGGGACAGUGAAUGUCACCUCUCCAGUGAGGAGGGAGCCUGAGAUUGAGAGUGUAAACUGAGGACACCAGGAGAGAGGAGUCGUUCAUCACAGAAGGUGUGGUCAGUGAAGAUGGUCACUGGCAGGUCGAAGGUCAUUGCAUCUCCAGCCCACAUCCACUGCCACUGUACUGAAGGGACGUUAAGACUUUCUUCUGCACUUACACUCUAAAAACUAAAACUGAGAUUACUUUAAAUUUUUGAAGCAACACUUUUAAACUAAAGCUUAAACAUAUUAAGUUGAAAUGAAUAAUUGUAGUCGUUACACGAACAUAAAAAAAUGGAGUAAAUAACACUGACAUGCUUGGUCAUGUAACUGAAAUAUAGAUGGUCAGUUAAUCCAAAAUGUUGUUCCAUUUACUUAAUAUUGUAAAAUUAACAUAAUCAAAAUUGUAAUUAAUAUUAAAUAUGAUAAAUGACCUGUAUUUGUACAGCACUUUUCCUAGUCCCUCUGGACCCCAAAGCGCUUUACACUACAUUCAGUCAUCCACCCAUUCACACAGUCGUGAUGGCAGCUACAUUGCAGCCACAGCUGCCCUGGGGUGCAUUGACAGAGUAGGCCUGUUGGUGACCGAGACUGUCGGAGCUGGGGCUCGAACCUGCAACCUUCCGAUUACAAGAAGAACUGCCAACUCUUGAGCCACGAUCGCCCCCUAACAUUCAUAUUUGAAUGGUAGUCUAAGUCUACAAAACCAAACAAAGUAGUUGAGUGUUUCAUAAUACAUGUAUGAAAAAUGACCACAUGUUAACAUUUUUCCAAGUGAAAAUGUAAAUUUCAUAAACAUGGCAAUAACUCGAAAUAAACAAGCACUAAAAAGAAGGGAGCCUUUCCCCUUUUAGCUCAAAGCCUCACUUACGUGAAGGAUGAAUGUCAAACCAGGAGAGCAAACACAAACGCUCAGAGUAUUUAAAAAACAAAAUGAACAAUACAAUGAAAAAGGCUCAUGGUACUCAAUUACUCUACGUUAUCGUGUAUUACUUGCACUUUUCAGUUGUAGUUGCUGUCAAUAAAUAAUAUUGAUUUGAAUAAUUAAUGAUUUUAGUACAAGAUUCUGAGGAGUAUAGAUACCUAUUUCUCAAAUAUUUUGAUUCAAUUUCAAACAAAAAUAUUAAGCACA
ensembl:lncRNA